rnacentral:lncRNA from 1 species
AACAAUCAGGAUUUUGUGGAGUUAAGUUAUAUUUUGAAUUCAAAAUUCAAACAUAGCUUCAUGCGCCAUCACAUGAUGAAGGAUUGAUCACAUCCAAGCCCUUCAUCAUGUCGCCCAUUCCCUCACUCCAUUUCGAAAUUUCCAUGCCCAUAAUCAGAUUAGAGGGUCACGUGGUGAUUUUGUGGUAAUUAAAUUCAAAAUUCAACCUUAAUUAGAAGUGAGAUAAAGAUAAGGAUGACAU